rnacentral:lncRNA from 1 species
AACCUGCCACCCAGAUGACUCUUAAUACGUUCCAUUAUGCUGGUGUGAGCGCAAAGAAUGUCACUCUAGGAGUUCCAAGGUUGAGGGAAAUUAUAAAUGUGGCUAAGAAAAUCAAAACUCCUUCACUCUCUGUAUUUCUGAAACCUGGCGUUAACUCAACUAAGGAGAGGGCCAAGAAUGUUCAAUGUGCACUAGAGUACACUACUCUCCGUAGUGUUACUGAAGCUACAGAAGUAUGGUAUGAUCCAGAUCCCAUGGGCACAAUUAUUGAAGAGGAUGUUGAAUUUGUCAAGUCUUACUAUGAGAUGCCAGACGAGGACAUUGCACCUGAAAAAAUAUCUCCUUGGUUGCUUCGCAUAGAGCUGAAUCGGGAAAUGAUGGUUGAUAAGAAAUUAAGCAUGGCAGCUGUUGCUGAGAAGAUAAAUCAGGAGUUCGAUGAUGAUUUGACUUGCAUAUUCAAUGAUGAUAAUGCUGAUAAACUCAUCCUUCGUAUUCGCAUAAUGAAUGAUGAAGCUCCAAAGGGAGAAUUGAAUGAUGAAUCAGCUGAAGAUGAUGUUUUCUUGAAGAAGAUUGAGAGUAACAUGCUGACAGAAAUGGCUCUUCGAGGUAUCCCUGAUAUCAACAAGGUGUUUAUUAAAAAGGGUAAAACAACCAAAUAUGAUGAUAAUGAAGGAUUUAAGUCGGAAGAUGAGUGGAUGCUGGAUACUGAAGGUGUGAAUCUUUUAGCCGUUAUGUGUCAUGAAGAUGUUGAUGCGAGAAGGACAACAAGCAAUCACUUGAUUGAAAUAAUUGAAGUACUAGGAAUUGAGGCAGUUCGUCGGGCGCUAUUGGAUGAAUUGAGAGUAGUUAUAUCUUUUGAUGGCUCUUAUGUGAAUUACCGACAUCUGGCUAUACUUUGUGAUACGAUGACCUAUCGAGGCCACUUGAUGGCCAUCACUCGUCAUGGCAUCAACAGGAAUGAUACUGGACCAAUGAUGAGAUGUUCAUUUGAAGAAACGGUUGACAUUCUUCUUGAUGCUGCAGUCUUUGCAGAAUCAGAUUAUUUGAGGGGGGUCACUGAGAAUAUAAUGUUAGGUCAGCUUGCGCCUAUUGGGACAGGAGACUGUUCAUUGUAUCUCAAUGAUGAGAUGCUGAAAAAUGCCAUCGAACUUCAGCUUCCUAGUUAUAUGGAAGGUCUGGAGUUUGGCAUGACACCUGCUCGUUCUCCGGUGUCUGGGACUCCUUAUCAUGAUGGCAUGAUGUCUCCAGGUUACUUGUUUAGCCCAAAUCUCCGUCUGUCCCCGGUCACGGAUGCCCAGUUUUCUCCUUAUGUUGGUGGAAUGGCCUUCUCUCCUACUUCAUCACCCGGAUACAGCCCAUCAUCACCAGGCUACAGUCCGUCAUCUCCUGGAUACAGUCCCACGUCACCUGGAUACAGCCCAACUUCGCCUGGAUACAGUCCCACCUCGCCUGGAUAUAGCCCUACCUCACCAACUUAUAGUCCAAGUUCUCCUGGUUAUAGUCCAACCAGUCCUGCCUAUUCUCCUACCAGUCCAUCGUACUCACCUACUUCACCAAGCUAUAGCCCAACCUCCCCAAGUUACAGCCCAACAUCCCCAAGCUACAGCCCGACCUCUCCAAGUUACAGCCCCACUUCUCCCAGUUACAGUCCAACUUCACCAAGCUAUAGCCCCACCUCACCGGCAUAUAGCCCCACCUCACCUGCAUAUAGCCCCACCUCACCUGCAUACAGCCCCACUUCACCAUCGUACAGCCCAACCUCUCCUUCCUACAGCCCAACAUCACCUUCGUACAGCCCUACCUCACCGUCAUACAGCCCCACUUCUCCAUCGUACAGCCCCACUUCACCAGCCUAUAGCCCCACUUCUCCUGGUUAUAGUCCAACUUCACCAAGUUAUAGCCCAACUUCACCAACCUAUAGUCCUACAUCCCCAAGCUACAAUCCUCAGUCUGCCAAAUACAGUCCGUCGCUGGCCUACUCACCAAGUAGUCCAAGAUUAUCUCCUGCCAGUCCGUACAGCCCUACAUCUCCAAAUUACAGGUAAGCCAUAGUGCGAUAUGUGGUCAAGUCUAAUGUUUGUGUUAAAAGCUGUAUCCAAUUUAUUAGGUCUUGUUUUUGAUAGAAUUCUAUAUACUGAAAUAUCUGUUGAACCUAAGACUUGCUGUAGCUGGGGAUUGGACUUGGAUGGGUUUAAAUUAUUAAUGAUUUUAUCUCUGUUGUUUUUAACAUUAUUAUAUCUGGAUGAUUAUGUUGAUGUAUCUUGUAAGCAACUUUUCUUUUUACGCAGUCCAACAUCAUCUUCGUAUUCACCGACAUCUCCCUCUAUGAUACUGGACCAAUGAUGAGAUGUUCAUUUGAAGAAACGGUUGACAUUCUUCUUGAUGCUGCAGUCUUUGCAGAAUCAGAUUAUUUGAGGGGGGUCACUGAGAAUAUAAUGUUAGGUCAGCUUGCGCCUAUUGGGACAGGAGACUGUUCAUUGUAUCUCAAUGAUGAGAUGCUGAAAAAUGCCAUCGAACUUCAGCUUCCUAGUUAUAUGGAAGGUCUGGAGUUUGGCAUGACACCUGCUCGUUCUCCGGUGUCUGGGACUCCUUAUCAUGAUGGCAUGAUGUCUCCAGGUUACUUGUUUAGCCCAAAUCUCCGUCUGUCCCCGGUCACGGAUGCCCAGUUUUCUCCUUAUGUUGGUGGAAUGGCCUUCUCUCCUACUUCAUCACCCGGAUACAGCCCAUCAUCACCAGGCUACAGUCCGUCAUCUCCUGGAUACAGUCCCACGUCACCUGGAUACAGCCCAACUUCGCCUGGAUACAGUCCCACCUCGCCUGGAUAUAGCCCUACCUCACCAACUUAUAGUCCAAGUUCUCCUGGUUAUAGUCCAACCAGUCCUGCCUAUUCUCCUACCAGUCCAUCGUACUCACCUACUUCACCAAGCUAUAGCCCAACCUCCCCAAGUUACAGCCCAACAUCCCCAAGCUACAGCCCGACCUCUCCAAGUUACAGCCCCACUUCUCCCAGUUACAGUCCAACUUCACCAAGCUAUAGCCCCACCUCACCGGCAUAUAGCCCCACCUCACCUGCAUAUAGCCCCACCUCACCUGCAUACAGCCCCACUUCACCAUCGUACAGCCCAACCUCUCCUUCCUACAGCCCAACAUCACCUUCGUACAGCCCUACCUCACCGUCAUACAGCCCCACUUCUCCAUCGUACAGCCCCACUUCACCAGCCUAUAGCCCCACUUCUCCUGGUUAUAGUCCAACUUCACCAAGUUAUAGCCCAACUUCACCAACCUAUAGUCCUACAUCCCCAAGCUACAAUCCUCAGUCUGCCAAAUACAGUCCGUCGCUGGCCUACUCACCAAGUAGUCCAAGAUUAUCUCCUGCCAGUCCGUACAGCCCUACAUCUCCAAAUUACAGGUAAGCCAUAGUGCGAUAUGUGGUCAAGUCUAAUGUUUGUGUUAAAAGCUGUAUCCAAUUUAUUAGGUCUUGUUUUUGAUAGAAUUCUAUAUACUGAAAUAUCUGUUGAACCUAAGACUUGCUGUAGCUGGGGAUUGGACUUGGAUGGGUUUAAAUUAUUAAUGAUUUUAUCUCUGUUGUUUUUAACAUUAUUAUAUCUGGAUGAUUAUGUU